CUUGCUCCUUUGACGUAAGCGGGGACGGGUGAGUAACCACGUGGGUAACCUACCCUCAUAAGCACUGGGCACAACUUCGGGAAACCGGCAGCUAAUACCGGCAUACAUCAUGUUGAACCGCAUGGUUCCACCAUAGUGAAAGCAUGGUUAUAGCUAUCACUUAUAGCAUGGACCCGCGCUGUAUUAGCUACGUUGGUGAGGUACACGGCUCACCAAGGGCAACGAUACGUACGCCGACCUGAGUAGGGUGAUCGGCCACACUGGACACCUGACGACACGGUCCAGACUCCUACGGGACGGCAGCAGUAGGGAAUCUUCCGCAAUGGGCGAAAGCCUGACGGAGCAACGCCGCGUGAUGAUGAAGGUCUUAGGAUCGUAAAACUCUGUUAAUAGGGAAGACAAACGUGUAAGUAACUGUGCACGUCUUGACGGUACCUAAUCAGAAAGCCACGGCUAACUACGUGCCAGCAGCCCGGUAAUACGUAGGUGGCAAGCGUUAUCCGGAAUUAUUGGGCGUAAAGCGCGCGUAGGCGGUUUUUUAAGUCUGAUGUGAAAGCCCACGGCUCAACCGUGGAGGGUCAUUGGAAACUGGAAAACUUGAGUGCAGAAGAGGAAAGUGGAAUUCCAUGUGUAGCGGUGAAAUGCGCAGAGAUAUGGAGGAACACCAGUGGCGAAGGCGACUUUCUGGUCUGUAACUGACGCUGAUGUGCGAAAGCGUGGGGAUCAAACAGGAUUAGAUACCCUGGUAGUCCACGCCGUAAACGAUGAGUGCUAAGUGUUAGGGGGUUUCCGCCCCUUAGUGCUGCAGCUAACGCAUUAAGCACUCCGCCUGGGGAGUAUCGACCGCA
rnacentral:rRNA from 1 species